AUGGGGCCACACUGCCCGGAUGCCUCUGCCAGGCUGAGAAACACGCUGAGCCCUGGUUCCCAUAAAUUCGGCUUUUAUGUGGCUGUGAAUAGGAGUGAACAAUGGAUCUAUUGCAGGCUGCACAGAACUGGCCCAGCCUGGGUUUCCCUCCCGCAGUUAGGAGCCUUGGCAUGGCAGCGUUCUGGAGCCCCCGGCCUGUCUUUUCCCUCAGCCCCCUUCCAACUGUGGCUCCCGCUGUUCAAGCCCUUCCCCUCCUGCGGAAGCCAGCCCACCCCUGCAGGCAUUUGGGCAUCAUACCCAGGUGAGCACUUCUGCAGGGGCUGGGCAUACAGGGGAACCUCAGCCCCACCCUGCACUUCCUGAGCCCAGGGCCUCACCGGCUCGUCUGUGCCCACUCAGCCCCCAGCAGCCUGCACUCACAGCACAGGGUCCAUGCUGCGGUCCUACCCUCCACAAUGCCCAUGCCACCUCCUGGAAGCACCCACGGGCCUUCUGCUAGCUGUUCUCCUGCCUUCACCUACAGACGGUAUUUCCAAGAACAGGUUUACUGGCAUCACUUUUAUGUGUCACCUGGGCAAGUCUGUGGUACCCAGCUGUCUGGUCAAACCCCUGUCU
rnacentral:lncRNA from 1 species